rnacentral:tRNA from 1 species
GGGAAGGUGGCUCAGUGGUAGAGCACUUGCCUUGCAUGCUCGAGGCCCUGGGUUCGAUUCCUCAGCUCCA